AUGAACGCUAGCUACAGGCUUAACACAUGCAAGUCGAGGGGCAGCAUUUUAGUUUGCUUGCAAACUAAAGAUGGCGACCGGCGCACGGGUGAGUAACACGUAUCCAACCUGCCGAUAACUCGGGGAUAGCCUUUCGAAAGAAAGAUUAAUAUCCGAUAGUAUAUUAAAACCGCAUGGUUUUACUAUUAAAGAAUUUCGGUUAUCGAUGGGGAUGCGUUCCAUUAGUUUGUUGGCGGGGUAACGGCCCACCAAGACUACGAUGGAUAGGGGUUCUGAGAGGAAGGUCCCCCACAUUGGAACUGAGACACGGUCCAAACUCCUACGGGAGGCAGCAGUGAGGAAUAUUGGUCAAUGGACGAGAGUCUGAACCAGCCAAGUAGCGUGAAGGAUGACUGCCCUAUGGGUUGUAAACUUCUUUUAUAUGGGAAUAAAGUAUUCCACGUGUGGGAUUUUGUAUGUACCAUAUGAAUAAGGAUCGGCUAACUCCGUGCCAGCAGCCGCGGUAAUACGGAGGAUCCGAGCGUUAUCCGGAUUUAUUGGGUUUAAAGGGAGCGUAGGUGGAUUGUUAAGUCAGUUGUGAAAGUUUGCGGCUCAACCGUAAAAUUGCAGUUGAAACUGGCAGUCUUGAGUACAGUAGAGGUGGGCGGAAUUCGUGGUGUAGCGGUGAAAUGCUUAGAUAUCACGAAGAACUCCGAUUGCGAAGGCAGCUCACUAGACUGCAACUGACACUGAUGCUCGAAAGUGUGGGUAUCAAACAGGAUUAGAUACCCUGGUAGUCCACACAGUAAACGAUGAAUACUCGCUGUUUGCGAUAUACAGUAAGCGGCCAAGCGAAAGCAUUAAGUAUUCCACCUGGGGAGUACGCCGGCAACGGUGAAACUCAAAGGAAUUGACGGGGGCCCGCACAAGCGGUGGAGCAUGUGGUUUAAUUCGAAGCAACGCGAAGAACCUUACCAAGGCUUGACAUCCCGAUGACCGCUCUAGAGAUAGAGCUUCUCUUCGGAGCAUCGGUGACAGGUGGUGCAUGGUUGUCGUCAGCUCGUGCCGUGAGGUGUCGGCUUAAGUGCCAUAACGAGCGCAACCCUUAUCUUUAGUUACUAACAGGUCAUGCUGAGGACUCUAGAGAGACUGCCGUCGUAAGAUGUGAGGAAGGUGGGGAUGACGUCAAAUCAGCACGGCCCUUACGUCCGGGGCUACACACGUGUUACAAUGGGGGGUACAGAAGGCAGCUACCUGGCGACAGGAUGCUAAUCCCAAAAACCUCUCUCAGUUCGGAUCGAAGUCUGCAACCCGACUUCGUGAAGCUGGAUUCGCUAGUAAUCGCGCAUCAGCCAUGGCGCGGUGAAUACGUUCCCGGGCCUUGUACACACCGCCCGUCAAGCCAUGAAAGCCGGGGGUACCUGAAGUACGUAACCGCAAGGAGCGUCCUAGGGUAAAACUGGUAAUUGGGGCU
rnacentral:rRNA from 1 species